CAGUCGCCACGGUAAUACGUAGGUGGCAAGCGUUGUCCGGAAUUAUUGGGCGUAAAGCGCGCGCAGGCGGAUCUGUUAGUCUGUCUUAAAAGUUCGGGGCUUAACCCCGUGAUGGGAUGGAAACUGCUGAUCUAGAGUAUCGGAGAGGAAAGUGGAAUUCCUAGUGUAGCGGUGAAAUGCGUAGAUAUUAGGAAGAACACCAGUGGCGAAGGCGACUUUCUGGACGAAAACUGACGCUGAGGCGCGAAAGCCAGGGGAGCGAACGGGAUUAGAUACCCGCGUAGUUCCUGUCUCUUAUACC
rnacentral:rRNA from 1 species